UACGAAGGGGGCUAGCGUUGUUUGGAAUUACUGGGCGUAAAGCGCACGUAGGCGGGUCGUUAAGUCAGGGGUGAAAUCCCGGAGCUCAACUCCGGAACUGCCUUUGAUACUGGCGAUCUUGAGAUCGGAAGAGGUGAGUGGAACUCCUAGUGUAGAGGUGGAAUUCGUAGAUAUUGAGAAGAACACCAGUGGCGAAGGCGGCUAACUGGUCCGGUACUGACGCUGAGGUGCGAAAGCGUGGGGAGCAAACAGG
rnacentral:rRNA from 1 species